GUAAGUGUAUAUUGAUUGCAGCAUCUGUCAUUUAUUUUUACUAGUGUUAAUUGAGCUGAUUGGGAUGACUGAGUAGAUUUUUUUUUUCUUCUCCUUUGCAUGACUGUCUCUCCCAAAGCCGUGGGCUUUGUUACGUGAGAUUACCUUUCAAGAGAAUAAAGAUCCACUCCACAGUCCGGGUGUAUGGGUACGUGCGCUGCCCAGCUAGAAACUGCAAAAAGUUCACAAGUGAAACAGGAUCAUUUAAAAGAACUCCAAGAAUCUCUUUGGGAUUCAUGAGUCAUCGUCCCAG
rnacentral:sRNA from 1 species